rnacentral:rRNA from 1 species
UACAGAGGUCCCAAGCGUUGUUCGGAUUUACUGGGCGUAAAGGGUGCGUAGGCGGUCGGUUAAGUCUGAUGUGAAAUCUCCGGGCCCAACUCGGAAACUGCAUUAGAAACUACCCGGCUAGAGGGUUGGAGGGGGGACUGGAAUUCUUGGUGUAGCAGUGAAAUGCGUAGAUAUCAAGAGGAACACCAGUGGCGAAGGCGAGUCCCUGGACAACUCCUGACGCUGAGGCACGAAAGCCAGGGGAUCAAACAGG